rnacentral:lncRNA from 1 species
CUGACAAGAAAUUAAUAUAACCUAUGCGCACAAUGAGAGCCAAACGCACGAAUCGCACGAAAAAAAGGAAAAAAGCAAUUCAACCCAGUGAAGGAAAAACAAAGAAGAACAUAUGGAGAGGAAAACAGAAGAACAAAAAUGCAAAAUUGAAUUACACAUGAACCAGAAGAAACAUACAAGAAAUAAUUGGAUCAGUUACCUUUUGGUUGAGGGAUGGAGAAAAAACCGAGAGAUCUGGUGCAGAAGGAGGAGGAGAUAGAUGAAGACAAAUAGUUUCUUCUGUCAAAAGAUGACGGGAUCUUAGACUCUUCCUCUCUUUAUAUAUAUACGCGCACGAAGAUAUAUACACACCUAGAGAUCUCACCCUUCGUAUUUAUAUAUUAAAUUAUGUUGAAAAGAACAGAAACGCUACAUUCAACACGUUUUCAUUUCCUUGAGAAGAUAACACGUUAUGAUCGCAUGCUAACUACCAUAAUU